CCGGCGCACGGGUGAGUAACGCGUAUGCGACCUGCCCGUUGCAGGGGGGAUAAUCGGGAGAAAUCCCGUCUAAUACCGCGUAACGCCGCGGGGCUGCAUGGCCCUGCGGCCAAAGGGAGCGAUUCCGGCAACGGAUGGGCAUGCGUGACAUUAGCUAGUUGGCGGGGCAACGGCCCACCAAGGCGACGAUGUCUAGGGGUUCUGAGAGGGACGGUCCCCCACACUGGUACUGAGACACGGACCAGACUCCUACGGAAGGCAGCAG
rnacentral:rRNA from 1 species